AGUGAACGCUGGCGGUAGGCCUAACACAUGCAAGUCGAACGGCAGCACAGGAGAGCUUGCUCUCUGGGUGGCGAGUGGCGGACGGGUGAGGAAUACAUCGGAAUCUACUCUGUCGUGGGGGAUAACGUAGGGAAACUUACACUAAUACCGCAUACGACCUACGGGUGAAAGCAGUGGAUCUUCGGACCUUGCGCGAUUGAAUGAGCCGAUGUCGGAUUAGCUAGUUGGCGGGGUAAAGGCCCACCAAGGCGACGAUCCGUAGCUGGUCUGAGAGGAUAAUCAGCCACACUGGAACGGAGACACGGUCCAGACUCCUACGGGAGGCAGCAGUGGGGAAUAUUGGACAAUGGGCGCAAGCCUGAUCCAGCCAUACCGCGUGGGUGAAGAAGGCCUUCGAGUUGUAAAGCCCUUUUGUUGGGAAAGAAAUCCAGCUGGCUAAUACCCGGUUGGGAUGACGGUACCCAAAGAAUAAGCACCGGCUAACUUCGUGCCAGCAGCCGCCGCCG
rnacentral:rRNA from 1 species